rnacentral:rRNA from 1 species
GACGAACGCUGGCGGCGUGCUUAACACAUGCAAGUCGAACGGAAAGGCCCUGCUCUUGUGGGGUGCUCGAGUGGCGAACGGGUGAGUAACACGUGAGUAACCUGCCCUUGACUUUGUGAUAACUCCUGGAAACUGCGGCUCAUACCGGAUAGGAGCUCCUGCUGCAUGGUGGGGGUUGGAAAGUUUCGGCGGUUGUGGAUGGACUCGCGGCUUAUGAGCUUGAUUGGGUGGUAGUUGCUUACCAAGGCUUUGACGGGUAGCCGGCCUGGGAGCGUGGACGGCGACAAUGGGACUGAGAUACGCACCAGACGCCUACGGGAGGCAGUAGUGGGGAAUAUUGCACAAUGGGCGGAAGCGUGAUGCAGCGACGCCGGGUGCGGGAAGACGGCCUUCGGGUUGUAAACAACUGUCGACUGUGACGAAGCGUGAGUGACGGUAAUGGGUAAAGAAGCCCCGGCUAACUACGUG